rnacentral:rRNA from 1 species
UACAGAGGCCCCGAGCGUUAUCCGGAAUCAUUGGGCGUAAAGGGUGUCGAGGCGGUCAUGUUAGUCGUGUGUAAAAUCCGAAGGCUCAACCUUCGGCCCGCAUACGAAACGGCAUGACUUGAGGUUGGAAGAGGUGCGUGGAACUCACGGUGUAGGGGUGAAAUCCGUUGAUAUCGUGGGGAACACCAAAGGCGAAGGCAGCGCACUGGUCCAAAUCUGACGCUCACACACGAAAGCCAGGGUAGCGAAUGGG